AUGCGUACACCCUUUUUUCUAAGUUUAACUGAGUUCAUAAGAAGCUUGAGAUACCCUAUAUAAGGCAAUAAUUUAAGCACGAUAUUAUUCUGACUCUUCCACAAGCCACUAUGAAUAAAGCACUACUUCUCUUGCUCGUCAUCGGACUGUUUGUUCUUACCACCGAUGCAUUUUUAGUUAAUUCUCCUUCUAAACUCACUGCACGCCGUCGAAGCCGCUGGCAAUGGAACCAAGAACAAGUUAAACUCAGCAAUGACCUAGACGAACUCACAGCACGUUUGUUCGAAUAGACAUUUUGCAUCUUAUAAAUUUGUAUAUGCUGUUUUAAAUAACAACGCGAUACAUUUUUACUUGAAUAAAUGCAAGAAUAUUA